rnacentral:ribozyme from 13 species
AUCCUGUUUGAAUUAAGGCAUUAUUCUGAAAGAGAAGAAGUAAACCAAACAAAAAGAAUGGAGUGAAGACAACUACGGAAAUUCUUUUACUUUUGUUUUUUCCGUUUCUUCUUACUCUCUUUCUUUUCCUUCUUUUGUUUUUUCUU